rnacentral:rRNA from 1 species
AUUGAACGCUGGCGGCAUGCUUUACACAUGCAAGUCGAACGGUAACAGGGUGCUUGCCCCGCUGACGAGUGGCGAACGGGUGAGUAAUGCAUCGGAAUGUACCGUGUAAUGGGGGAUAGCUCGGCGAAAGCCGGAUUAAUACCGCAUACGCCCUGAGGGGGAAAGUGGGGGACCGAAAGGCCUCACGUUAUACGAGCAGCCGAUGUCUGAUUAGCUAGUUGGUGAGGUAAAGGCUCACCAAGGCGUCGAUCAGUAGCGGGUCUGAGAGGAUGAUCCGCCACACUGGGACUGAGACACGGCCCAGACUCCUACGGGAGGCAGCAGUGGGGAAUUUUGGACAAUGGGCGCAAGCCUGAUCCAGCCAUGCCGCGUGUCUGAAGAAGGCCUUCGGGUUGUAAAGGACUUUUGUCCGGGAGCAAAUCCUAGUGGUUAAUACCUACUGGGGCUGAGAGUACCGGAAGAAUAAGCACCGGCUAACUACGUG